rnacentral:lncRNA from 1 species
CACUUUUGGUGCCAAAGGCAAUUGCUGUUUUUCAGGUGAGGUCUGCUGGGAGCUUGGCUAUUGCAAAGCAGGGAUUUGAAAUGCUUGGCUUAUGCAGCGGGUAUCACAGAUUUACUGAGUGUAUCCUGUCAUUUUCACUCUCUCCAGGGAAAGGACUUUCCAGUGAAACAAACUGAGAAAAAAAUGACUGAGUGGUUGAUCUUCCCUCCACCCAGCAUCAGUGUUUCGUGGCUGUGUGUAGGGACCGCCAAGCAGCGUGAAGCACAGUGUAGGACAGAGGCUCCUCCGGGUGCUGGUGCUCCCACUGACACUGGUUAGAGGUGUCCAGAAACUUCUUGGUUAAGUGAUAAGGAACAGCACAACUUCAAACAGAACAAACUGAUCACCUGCUGCCUCCUCAAGCCUUCCAACCGGUAUCACUCC